rnacentral:tRNA from 1 species
AAGCCCCGGCACCUUAUUAGGGUCCUCUAUUAGAUUUGCACUCUAAUCUAUCAAGGGC